AGUUGGUGGAGUGAUUUGUCUGGUUAAUUCCGAUAACGAACGAGACCUUGACCUGCUAACUAGUGGGGGGUACUGGUGUACCCUUGUACUUCUUAGAGGGACUGACUAUGUUUAGUAGUUGGAAGUUCGAGGCAAUAACAGGU
rnacentral:rRNA from 1 species